AGAGUUUGAUCAUGGCUCAGAGUGAACGCUGGCGGCGUGCUUAACACAUGCAAGUCGAACGAGAACGGAUUUUAGCUUGCUAAAAUUGUCAGCUAAGUGGCGCACGGGUGAGUAAUAUAUAGGUAACGUGCCCUAGAGAAGAGGAUAACAUUUGGAAACGAAUGCUAAUACUCUAUAUGCCUUUAAGUCAUAAGACNGCCAAGGGAAAUAUUUAUAGCUCUAGGAUCGGCCUGUACGGUAUCAGCUUGUUGGUGAGGUAAUGGCUCACCAAGGCAAUGACACCUAACUGGUUUGAGAGGAUGAUCAGUCACACUGGAACUGAGACACGGUCCAGACUCCUGCGGGAGGCAGCAGUGGGGAAUAUUGCACAAUGGACCCAAACUCUGAUG
rnacentral:rRNA from 1 species